rnacentral:tRNA from 84 species
AGGAGUGUAGCUCAGUUGGUAGAGCAUCGGUCUCCAAAACCGAGGGCCGUGGGUUCGAGUCCCUCCACUCCUGCCA